ensembl:rRNA 5S_rRNA 5S ribosomal RNA
GUCUACGGCCAUACCACCCUGAACGCGCCCGAUCUCGUCUGAUCUCGGAAGCUAAGCAGGGUUGGGCCUGGUUAGUACUUGGGAUGGGAGACUGCCUGGGAAUACCGGGGCUGUAGGCU